rnacentral:lncRNA from 1 species
AUGGAGCCCGCGGCACACACAUUGCCAGAUUUCUCUGCAAAAAUGUUGAUAAUUAAUGCAUGCUCCAUCGCCAAUAAGUCUCACAUCCUAAACAAUAUGUUCUGCAUCGGAAAAUUAAACUUUUUAUUGAUUCCUGAGUCGUGGCAGCACGAAAAUGACGUCACUCAUCUCCGUGAGCUCUGUCCUCAAGACUGCUCUUUCUUCUCUGCUCCACGGACCACAGGCUGCGGUGGAGGAACAGCUGUUAUCUUUAAAAAACACUUUUCAUGCCAAAUUAUAUCCUCAAACUCCUACAGCUCAUUCGAGAUGAUCAUGAUUAAAAUUGGUCGAGUUCUACCAGUUUAUGGGAUUCUGGUCUAUCGCCCACCUGGAUCUACUUCAUCCUUCCUGUCAGACUUUCAGGACCUCCUAUCUUCAACUAUUAAACUAGACAGGAUAAUCAUUAUUGGAGAUUUCAACAUCCAUGCUGAGGAUCUAUCUAACAGCUCUACCAGGGAGUUCCUAAACAUGAUGAACUCUUUUAACUUCUCUCAACACGUAUCUGGUCCCACUCACAGAGCAGGCCACACCCUGGAUCUGGUCUUUUCCUACGGACUUCUUGUUGAUAAGCUGCAGAUAAAUGAUGUUGUGUUCAGUGACCAUAAGUCAAUUUCCUUUCAUAUUAACCUAAAUUCUGAAUCUCUUUUACCAGUCUCUGCUAAGCAAAGACGUAUUAUCAACAGUUCUACCAUUUUAAAUUUCUCCUCCCUCUUUGACUUUGUACCUCCUUCCUCUGAUGACGUAGAGCUCCUCACUAACUCAUUUAAUAAUCACUGCCUCAAAAUUCUUGAUCAGGUUGCCCCUUACAAAACCACCCGCAGUUCCAGUGCCUCCAGUUCACCCUGGCUGAACAACCAGAUUCUUGAACUUAGACGCUCCUGUAGAAAAGCAGAACGUCAGUGGAAGAGGACAGGUCUGGUUGUUCAUCGCAAAUAUUUUAAAGAACUUCUCGAGUCAUACAAUGAAGCUGUAGGAAAUACCAGGUCUUCUUUCUUCAGCAACCUCAUAUGCCAAAAUAAGGAUAAUCCGAAGGUUUUGUUUGAUACCAUCUCCAGCAUCAUUUCUUCUCCUCCUCAGCAGGCUCAGCUAUCUUCAGCUGAUGAUUGUAACACCUUUCUCCACUUUUUUUGCAAACAAGGUGUUGAAUCUGAGAUCCAGCAUUCCACAUGCUCCCCCCAUCAGCAAGGAGGCCCCUCAGUGCUCCGAGUCUUUCACCUCCUUCUCCCCAAUUACACUAAAUUACUUAACCUCAAUAAUCAGUCAGAUAAAGCUCUCAUCAUGCUCAUCAGAUGUGAUGCCUCCCUCUGUCUUAGUCAGGUCCCUUGCCUCUAUCAGUCCAUCUCUGUUGACUGUAAUCAACAGCUCACCGAGUCAAGGCUGUGUUCCAUCUUACUUUAA